ACUUUCAAACAAAACAAAGUUUUUCGUUCAUUCAACAACCAUCUCACAUUCUUCUUAAGGAAGGUUUUAUUAUGAAGGAAUGCGUGCCUCUAUUACUGCCACAUUCAAUAAACUUCUCAUCCUAACCAAAAUUUACAAAUAGCAGAUGAGAGACGUUUUUCAAAUUUAAGAUUUGUGGUGGUGUUCAAGCCCCUAGAUUAUGCCUAAUGCUAACAGACUAGUUCACGUUUUAAAUUGGUUGGGGGGGGGGUACAUGCCCCUCCCUAUUGUCAAUAUGUACACCACCAAUAAAUCAAAAAUCUUGAAGAACAAUUUUUUUUUUGUUUUCAUAUUGUAUACUGAUUUCACUUGUUUUAUUAAAAAU
rnacentral:lncRNA from 1 species